rnacentral:rRNA from 1 species
UACGUAGGGUGCGAGCGUUGUCCGGAAUUACUGGGCGUAAAGGGCUCGUAGGCGGCCAACUAAGUCGGACGUGAAAUCCCUCAGCUUAACUUGGGAACUGCAUCCGAUACUGGAUGGCUUGAAUCCGGGAGAGGGAUGCAGAAUUCCAGGUGUAGCGGUGAAAUGCGUAGAUAUCUGGAGGAAUACCGGUGGCGAAGGCGGCAUCCUGGACCGGCAUUGACGCUGAGGAGCGAAAGCUAGGGGAGCAAACGGG